CCAUUUUAUGUUCAUCUUUCUUCACCGAAUGUAGAAAAGAAAAACAAGGUUUGAAAGCUUGAAACAUUCGGCCAUUUUGAAGCUUAAUUCAAGAUCAAGAAUUAAAGAAAUCGGAUUUGGAUCGGGGAAAUACAAAAGUGGUCGAGUAGCCGAUUUAACAGUCGACGACAUCCAAGGUAAGUCUAAUAGCAAUUUAAAUGUUAUUAAAUUGGAAUUUAUAUAAAUAUAUCUAUCAUACAUUUAGUAAGCUGGAACUAAAAGUAUAUAAAUUGAAUAAAACUUGGUGAUUUUUCUAUGUGAUAGCCGAACAUAGAAAUUAAUUUUGGGAGGUUGAUAUUAAUGGUAUAAAUUACAUGUAUAUUAGCUAAAGUAUGCUUUAAGUUCAAUGAUAUGAAACUAAUAGUAGAAUGUACAUGGAUAUGUAGUUCGAAUGUAAGAUUUAAUUUCUUGAGUUGAAUUUAAAGUUAUGAAUUAUAUAUAUAAAGUUUGAAUGUAUGAUACAAGUUCUUUGAUUCUUUGAGUUGAACUUAAUAUUAUGAAUUAUAUAUAUAUGCACAUAUGGUUCGAAUAUAUAUAUUUAAAGUUCUUGAGCUGAAUUUAAUGUAUGAAUUUUACUUACAUAUGUGGUUCGAAUAUAGGUUACAAAUUCUUUGAGCUGAAUUUUAAUGUUGUAAAUUAUACAUAUGUGGUUCGAAUGUUUGUUUGCUAUGGAGAAUUGAAUAUAGUUCAAUUCUUACGGAGAUACGGUUAUUGAGUAAGACUUAGGUAAACAUAAAGAAUUAUACGAAAGAUCAUCUUUGUAUAUGAGAUUUUCAGGCUUAAUGCCUAGCAGGCUUGAUGCCGGUGGAUUAUUUCAGGCUUAAUGCCUAGCAGGCUUGAUGCCGGUGGAUUAUUUCAGGCUUAAUGCCUAGCAGGCUUGAUGCCGGUGGAUUAUUUCAGGCUUAAUGCCUAGCAGGCUUGAUGCCGGUGAAUUAUUUUAGACUUUAUGUCUAGCAGGCUUGAUGCCGGUGAAUUAAUUCCGACUUUAUGUCUAGCAGGCUUUGUGCCGGUGAAAUGAAUCGGGCUUUGUGCCUAGCAGGCUUUAUGCCGGUGUUUUAUAUAGGGCUCUAUGUUUUAUAAAUUUUAUAUGAGCAAUAGUAAAAGCAAAUAAAUGUGUUAAGAAAGUUAAAUUAUUCAGGUAUGUGUUAGCCAUUUGCUUAAUUGCUGAUGAGGUAAGUUGAUUAUUUUAAUUUGAUAAUAGUUUCAAAUGAAAUAUAGAGUAUGAGUUAAUCAUUUGAGUAUAAGCAUGUUUUAGCAUAAUGAUUUAUUGAAUAUUCGGCUUUGCUAAAUAUUUAUGUGUAUUUGGCCAUAUGGUUUGUUUAUAUGAAAAUACAAUGUGAUUUUUAUUAAAGUGUUAUAUGGUACAAAAUAUUAUGAUAUUUGGUUUAUUUUAACUUAAUGAUGGAAUAAGUAUUAAUAUAUAUAUAAAUGAAUUUUUUCUUAUGACUUACUAAGCUUUAAAUAGCUUACUGUGCGUAUGUUGUUCUUCGUUUUAUAGAUUUUUGGAAGUUGGUUACGAGCUCGGGGAUCGUCAGAGAAGAUUAUCACACUAUCGACUCCUCUCGGUAUUUUGUAAAUUUUGAAUUCGAUCUUAUGGCAUGUAUAGCGUAGAUGAAAU
rnacentral:lncRNA from 1 species